UUUUCCCUGCUAUGUACGUGAUUUGUAACGCAAUUCAAAACCAUUGACGAAUUAAAGGGACUUCGACUUCUGCAAAGGGUUUGCAGACCUCCCGGCCUAUCAUUUUGGAUAGGUUGGACGAAGGGAGCGCGAGUUUGUGGAGAGAUAACCCACCUGUGAGAGCAGGUUUCGGAUUUGUUACUUACACGGCUGUGUGGGGAUUUU
rnacentral:other from 1 species